AAAUUGAAGAGUUUGAUCAUGGCUCAGAUUGAACGCUGGCGGCAGGCCUAACACAUGCAAGUCGAACGGUAACAGGAAGAAGCUUGCUUCUUUGCUGACGAGUGGCGGACGGGUGAGUAAUGUCUGGGAAACUGCCUGAUGGAGGGGGAUAACUACUGGAAACGGUAGCUAAUACCGCAUAACGUCGCAAGACCAAAGAGGGGGACCUUCGGGCCUCUUGCCAUCGGAUGUGCCCAGAUGGGAUUAGCUAGUAGGUGGGGUAACGGCUCACCUAGGCGACGAUCCCUAGCUGGUCUGAGAGGAUGACCAGCCACACUGGAAC
rnacentral:rRNA from 1 species